ACACACUGUGAGAAAGCGCUAUAUAAAAUACAGUCCAUUUUACCAUUUAGUGAAUACAACUAGCCUAUGUCGGCAAGGAAACUACAGCUACCUGUGUGUUGCCUCUAAGGCAUUUAUUUAGCUAAUUAUUUGUUGAAGUUGUUAUCUGUUUUUGGUGAAGGGCCAGGUUUUUAAUUACAUAUGUAAAAAAAAAUGGUAACGCUAAACCUAUUUACUAAAUGGCGCCGGGUGAUGACGUCACUUCUGGGUUUAGCGAUUUCCCGUUAGUAAGAAAGAUGGCUGACGUAAGGCUCUUGUUUGCAGCAUGUGCAUUCAUCUUCAUCUGCUAGGAAACGUGAUAGAAGCAAUGCCCUCCUCUUCGGGCAUCAUCAAAUAUGAAAGUUGCAAUGACAAAGAUCCAUAAAUAAAGACCGUGAUGCAGGCUCCAGUGGUCGUGUCACACACAGUCAGGAUGGAGAUGUUCUGGGCCCGGUUCAACCACCUGACGGAG